CCCAUAUACCCAAACCCCCAUUCUCACAUACCCAAACCCCCAUUCUCAUAUACCAAACCCCCAUUCUCAUAUACCGAAACUCCCAUUCUCAUAUACCCAAGCCGCCAUUCUCAUAUACCACACCCCCAUUCUCAAAUACCCUACAACCCCGCCAAUCCGCAUGUGCCACACACACAAACCAAGCUAUAAUCUAUUAAGCAAACAAACCGGCAAUGGACAGUAUGAAAAAAAAUGCAAGUCAAAAGCGAUAGGUGGACUAGCAUGGUCAAGCGAUAAUGAACGCAGAGAAUAACCCGGAACUAAUGCCACAGGUCUGGUCCACGGGAGAAUCUUCCACCCAAUGACUUGCUU